rnacentral:rRNA from 1 species
AGCGAACGCUGGCGGCAGGCUUAACACAUGCAAGUCGAACGCCCCGCAAGGGGAGUGGCAGACGGGUGAGUAACACGUGGGAACGUACCCUUUGGUUCGGAAUAACUUGGGGAAACUCAAGCUAAUACCGGAUAAGCCCUUAUAGGGAGAGGUUUACUGCCGAAGGAUCGGCGCGCGUGUGAUUAGCUAGUUGGUGGGGUAAUGGCUCACCAAGGCGACGAUCAGUAGCUGGUAUGAGAGGAUGAUCAGCCACACUGCGACUGAGACACGGCCCGGACUCCUACGGGAGGGAGCAGUGGGGAAUAUUGGACAAGGGGGGCAACCCUGAUCCAGCCAUGCCGCGUGAGUGAUGAAGGCCUUAGGGUUGUAAAGCUCUUUUACCCGGGACGAUAAUGACUGUACCGGGAGAAUAAGCCCCGGCUAACUUCGUGCCAGCCGCCGCCGUAA